rnacentral:lncRNA from 1 species
ACAAAGUCCUCACCAGAGCCAAGCUAGUGCUGGAGCCAUGCCCUUCAACCUGAAAACUGUGAGCUAAAUAACCUUUCUUCCUUACAUAUUACCUAAAUCAGGUAUUUUGUCAUAGUAAUGGAAAGCACACCAAUACACACAAGUGAGUUGGGUCCACAUGUCUUCUGUAUAACUUCAUUGAAUAAUACCUAACUGAACAGAAAAACAUACUAAAGAAGUGUUUUCUUUUAAAUAUAAAUUCUGUACAUGUAUAACAUUUUAAAAUUUUGUUUCUCUCCAGAUUAAAUUUCCACUUAUCCUUAUAUACACUCACAGGGAGUAGUAUAUGUAAUAACCAUUGUCAUCUCUGAGAGAGGGAGGAGCCCAAAAGUCACACAACUGUGAAGGCACAGGCACAACCUGCACCCAGGGGCCUGAAAGCUCCUUAUAGUGCUCUUUUCUACAAGACUUUGUGGCCUUAAUGCCAAACUUUCCCAGGGACACAUGGAUAUUUAUAUUUCAACUUUUUCUGCAGUUAUAUGGAAGAGUUCUGAGGACUUCAUGGAUUUUUGAUCACAUCAACAGAUUUAUCUGAUUGCUUAUUCGUGUUGGAUCAUAGGAUUAUGAGGCAUCUGUGUCCUCAGGGAGAAGACAGUAAAGAUGAGCAAGACAAGGAACAAGAAGUGAAAUAGGAACAGGACUCCUGUUUGGAUCUUCUGUAGAAUUCUGGUUGAAGGAGCUUAUGUUUCAUAGACAACAAAUCAUGAUGCCUGUGCCUGAUGAGGGUAGUGAAUCCAGGAGAGAUGCAAGGGCCCUUCCCUCAGCAGGCAUCCAUGGGACUUGGCAUGUCCAGACUGCACUACCUCGAGAAGUGAUGAAGAUACCAGACCUCUUCCCUGUCUGCAGGAACAUUGGUCCAAGAUAAAUGAACUCACCUACUUUAGAAAAGAAAAAUCUAAUCGGAGAAUGGUACCAUCCCCCCGAAGACCACUCAUUCUGUGCUCUGCCAACAUAGCCACAGGGAAUCUACCAUCUUUUCCGCCAUGUGUGAGGUUGUGGUUGAGUUUUUCCCUUUCCUUUCCUUUUAGUUUCCUAAAUAUAGAAUUAAUGGGUAGUAGGGAAAGUCAAUGAUUUCUCCUACUUGGGUCUGGAGAAUGGAAAGAAAAUAUUCCUUUCUUCUUUCGGCUUCAAAACCCCCUCUAGGUUGGGGCCCUCACUUGCCAAUUUCGCAUUCAGAUAAGACACAAGUCAAGGACCACAAAGUUUGUAACGACAAGGAGCUGGAAGGGGGCAUUGCUGUACUAUGAUAGAGUACUGGCCCCAAGUGUCAAACCUUGGUUGGUGGUGCCAGGUUGGCUGCCCCAGACUCUUGGGGAAAGGAUUUUGAAGAGCAUAGACUCAUGGGCUUCUAUCCCUAGGGACCUCAGGUGGGGCUUCAGAAGUUUAAAAUAUUUUUUUUUUGUUUGGAAAGAUUCUCAGAUCCACCACCAGUUUAGGAUUCAGAAGUGUAAAAACAGUGAAUAGCAGCAAUAAAAGUUAAAUAAAUAAUUUGC